CAGUCGCCGCGGUAAUACGAAGGGGGCUAGCGUUGUUCGGAUUUACUGGGCGUAAAGCGCACGUAGGCGGAUCGAUCAGUCAGGGGUGAAAUCCUGGAGCUCAACUCCAGAACUGCCUUUGAUACUGUCGAUCUCGAGUCCGGAAGAGGUGAGUAGAACUCCUAGUGUAGAGGUGGAAUUCGUAGAUAUUAGGAAGAACACCAGUGGCGAAGGCGGCUCACUGGUCCGGUACUGACGCUGAGGUGCGAAAGCGUGGGGAGCAAACAGGAUUAGAUACCCCAGUAGUCCCUGUCUCUUAUAC
rnacentral:rRNA from 1 species